rnacentral:rRNA from 1 species
CCUACGGGUGGCUGCAGUGAGGAAUAUUGGUCAAUGGACGCAAGUCUGAACCAGCCAUGCCGCGUGCAGGAAGACGGCUCUAUGAGUUGUAAACUGCUUUUGUACGAGGGUAAAUCCCGAUACGUGUAUCGGGUUGAAAGUAUCGUACGAAUAAGGAUCGGCUAACUCCGUGCCAGCAGCCGCGGUAAUACGGAGGAUUCAAGCGUUAUCCGGAUUUAUUGGGUUUAAAGGGUGAGUAGGCGGUUCGAUUAGUUAGAGGUGAAAUCCCGGGGCUCAACUCCGGCACUGCCUCUGAUACUGUCGGGCUAGAGUUUAGUUGCGGUAGGCGGAAUGUAUGGUGUAGCGGUGAAAUGCAUAGAGAUCAUACAGAAAACCGAUUGCGAAGGCGGCCGGGUGGACGACAACUGACGGGGAGGCGCGAAAGCGUGGGGAGCAAACAGGAUUAGAUACCCGUGUAGUC